rnacentral:tRNA from 1 species
GCCCGAGUGAUGAAAUGGUAGACAUACAGGACUUAAAAUCCUGGGGAGGAAUACUCCGUGUCGGUUCGAGUCCGACCUCGGGCA